CAGCACUGUUUGUGAUACAGGGCAUGCCAAAGUGUUUGGUCAUAACAGCAGUAGUGACCUCAAUGGUUAAGUUCUGUGGCACGAUUUUGGCCAUUAUGCUUAGGUAGGUGACCCAAAAUCUGAUUCUAGAGCUCUUCUAGAGAUUCUGGAAGCUAUUCACUAUCACUUUGAAAUUUGACCGAUACACUUAACCUUAAUUUCUCUAUCAGUGAACUAAGGGUAAUACUGUAUACCUUGAAAGUAGCAGAGAGAAUUAAAUGAGAUAAUGUAUGUUUGUCAACCUCUCAGAAGAAAAAGGUCUGAGACCCCUUUGCAAACCCGAUGGAAGCUAUGGCUCUGCCUCCCACAAGGGCUUCUGACACCACCACAGUUCCAUCCUCAGUUACCAUGAGAGCCAUUCAGGAAAACAUACCCUUGUCCAGCCAUGUGGUGCCAAGGUAAUUCUACUCAUGCUAAGAGUUAGCAAAACUAGACAAUUCUAGACAAUUAGAGAGCGAAUGACACACUGGCUGCUCAGAAAGAUAACCUGGGACAAAGAGAAGACCUCCACAGAAGAAAGACCAGCAGAGUGUUUGACAACUAGCGAGAAGGCUAAAAACUCAGCGAUAUGCACGCAACUCAGUGUCUUCAAAGCUCGUUUAAAAGGUUUGGAAGCGUUAAAAGGAAUGUUCUUAUACUCAAUUGAGCUCUGGUAGAAAUCCAAAGUUUUAAGUUAAGGAGUGACUGAUAAUGAAGAUCAGUGCGAUUUUUGUUCACACUUCUCAAAACUUCCCUCUGUUUGCACCUCUUAUUUAAUACCAUUUAAUUUGGUUAGUUUGUAUGCUACUAUUUGGCCAACGUUUAUGCUUAGCUUUUCCAGUAAAGCACUGUAUUAUUUUCAGCAAGUCCAGAUGAAUGGAAAAGUAUGUCUCUUUCAGUCAGUGACUCCAUGAACUAAGCUCGGGAAACCUGUAAUGAAAGCAACAGCUGACAGUGGAUCUAAAUCGCUGGCUAAGUCCCUAGAAGCACACAGUCUCUCCAAGGACUAUGGCCCACCUCUUCCAGUGUGAUGCCAAGAACCGGGGCUUUGGAAUAUGACAGACUUGAGUGUAAAUCUCUGCGGAAAUUGAACAGGUUGUCUACACCACAACACUGUCAUACCUAAGCAUUCUUACCUACAAAAUAAGGAUGACUGAAUACCUCCUUCAUAGGAUUCUUCUGAAGAUUAAAAAAGAAACUGCACAGACAGCAACUAGUGUAGCACUUGGCACACGGUAAAGCAGGCAUUCAGUGAAUGAUAGGUAUUAUGCACUAUGCUUCUAAAAUUCUAGGCUUUGAGUUCAUUGUGAUUUUUUUUUUCCUACUAGCUUGUAAAACUCCUCAAGGGUAAAACUAGUGCCACAUCCAACUGCAUCUUACUUUUUCAUAAUUUCAACUCCCUGGACAGUCAAGAAAUGGGGAAAAUCACACAAAUUGGCCCACAGGUCCCCCAAAUAGUUAUUAUAAAUUUCAUGCGCUAAUGCCUAUGUAUUUUAGUAACAAGAAACCCCCAAAGGCUUACUGACUUUUAUUUUGUUUCCAAUGUGACAGGAGCAAAUUAGGAGGUGACUGCUACUUUCCAUCAGAAAAGGAAACAACAGGAAAAAAAUCAUAGAAAGUAAACAUACGCACAUGAUGUAUACGAAAUAGUGAACAAAAUAAAGUCUAGCAACCAAA